rnacentral:tRNA from 1 species
GGCCCCCUAUGAGGUUCGAACUCACGACCCCUGGUUUACGAGCCCAUGCUCUACCACUGAGCUACAGGGGC